GCAUUUUUCUUGGUGACUAUAACUUGGCAGAAGUGGAGGGUGGGGAGGAGAGGAGGGGGAAGGGGAGGAAAUCUGAGUCCCCCAGAGUGACCAGCCUUCACGGUCUUGUGGCCUUUUCAAGUCCAAGGGAAAAGCAUGAGAAUGGGCCUGAGUGAGCUUGGAAUGGACUUGGAGAGGUGAAGUCCUGGCUUCACAGGGACCUGCAAGGAUCGUGCAGCCUGAGCGGAGUCAAGGUCCCUUGGAUGUUUUGGGUUCUUAGAAAUGGAGGCAACUCACCUCAUGGUCCUUGUGGCCCCAUGGCCUUCGAAAUAGGGGUUUGUAAGAGUGGCCGUGGGACAUCCUCAACGCCCACCUGCAGUGAGAAUUUCAUUCCACAGGUAACCACAGGCUGCCAGAGUCCCACCCCCUUCUGGAUAUUCAGAGCCAUCAGCCCCUGCCAGACCAGUUCCAGAUUCUCAGUGAAACGGCUCUUUGAAUAUAAGAUAGGGCUAAAAUAUGACAGUACUGGAGACUAAGGAAGAUGCUUUCCGGUGCCGGACUGAAGGAACGUCACAUGAGAUUUAAAUGGCAGAUUGAAAGAAGACAACAGAGAGUCAGUCAGGACGAUUCCAAGAAACCCAAGCCCAUCAGAGGUACGAGCUGAAGAUGCUGGCCCAGUGGUGUCCUAGUUGAAGGGGAGAGGUGGCGGGGGGGGGAUUGCCAGCAGGUAACAGGGAAAUUGGGUCAUAUCCCUCCUUGGGUUGGUUUACCUGGUCCUCCACAACACAGUAGCACAGAGUGUGUGGCUCAGACAGCAGAGAUGGAUUUUCUCAGAGUUCUGGAGGCUGAAAGUCCAAGAUUGAGUACCAGCAGGGCUGCUUUCUCCUGAGACCUCUCCUUGGCUUGCAGAGAGCUGCCUCUGCCUGUGUCCUCACCUGGCGUUUUCUGUGUGUGUGUCCAUCUCAGGGAGCUCUUGCUCUUCUUGUAAGGACACCAGUCAUCUUGGAUUAGGGUCUCACCGUUAUUUCAGUUAGUAUUAAUUACCUCUUUAAAGAACGCUAUUUCUACAUACAGUCACGUUUGUUGUUUCAACAUGUAAAUUUGGGAGGGGACAUGAUUCAGUCUAUAACACUUCUCUCUUUAAAAGUCUUCAAAGGCCUUAAAAUGGCCUAAAAGCUCCCCCCACCCCCCAGUACAGUCCGGUUCAGUGUUGCCUCUCGAACGUUUUCUCCUAACACUCCUCACCUUGGUAUGUUCCCCUCCAGCCACACUGAUCCUCCUACUGUAUCUCUGACACCAAGCAUACCCCUGGUCAAGGCCUUCGAGCAGUGAUGCUCAGUCCCUGGGAUGCUUUGCCUGCAGAGGGCCCCAUAGCUAGUUCCCUCCCUGCUUGCAAGGUCCCUGUCCAGAGAGCUCCUUGCCAAAGAAGCCUUUUCUGACCAGCACAUGGAACCCAGAACUCACUGUCUCUUGCGUUUCUUUACAGAGCUUUAUGAUCUUUUUCCAUAACACUUAACAUCUUGCAAUAAAUAUACUUUUUGCUCAUUUCCA
rnacentral:lncRNA from 1 species